rnacentral:lncRNA from 1 species
UUGUAGUCUUUAAUUUGAUACAUAUUAUUAACAGUGAAAAGAAUUAAUAGAAUGCAAUAAACUAUCUAAUUUUUUUCAUCUGUAUAUGAAAAAAAUAAAGUAAAAAUUAUUUACAUGAUAAGUCAUUAAUUCACAUACGCAUUAUCUUCCACACAGAUUUACCAAUAUAUAUGAAUAUCCACAUUCACUGAACAAAUACGCACACACUUACCAUCAGAAUACAUUUUCACGCAUAGUUACACCAAUUCCCUUUUCCCGUAAACACAGUUUCACACACACUCACAAUUCCACAGAGACACCAUUCCAUAUGCACACAGUACACAUUUACGCACAUACUCAGCAACAUACACCCAUAUACAUCAGCAACUACACAUACACACGUAUGCACAGUAGAAGACUAGAAAAAUGGAAAGAAAAACAAAAAUAGUGAAGAAAAAUGAGAAAAAUAGUGGAGAGAUCGGGAAAGAGAGAAAGAGUAGAAACAAACGAGAGGGAGAUACUGUUCCAGUGAGUUCUCACCAAAAACUCAUCGAAGAACGACUCGGAACCCACCAUCUUCUAAAAUCUGACCAAAAAUUCAUACCAAAUCACCCCAAUAGUCCCUCCCGUCAUUUCUUUGGUUGAACAACUGCAAAACUAGUACCAAAAAUCAUUGGAAAAUGGCGAAAACCAUCGGCGAAGCCACCAGCGAUGCCAUCUUCCUAUUCAGUCCAAAAUCGCUGCUAGACAUGUCGAAACCAGCUAUUCCAGGCCUACCCUCACCGUCAAAAUAAUGGGUAUCUGUCGAAAACCAACCAAAUUCUGCCGAUGAAACCCAUUGUUGCUGCCGCCACUGAACCGCCUCCACCCGUUUAGUUUUCUCCUUAAAUCCACUAGUAGAUGGUGUAACCAAUUCUAUUUGUUUUUCCAAAAUUGGUUUGAGUUUUUAAAUUUUUG